GACGAACGCUGGCGGCGUGCUUAACACAUGCAAGUCGAACGGAAAGGCCCUGCUUUUGUGGGGUGCUCGAGUGGCGAACGGGUGAGUAACACGUGAGUAACCUGCCCUUGACUUUGGGAUAACUUCAGGAAACUGGGGCUAAUACCGGAUAGGAGCUCCUGCUGCAUGGUGGGGGUUGGAAAGUUUCGGCGGUUGGGGAUGGACUCGCGGCUUAUCAGCUUGUUGGUGGGGUAGUGGCCUACCAAGGCUUUGGCGGGUAGCCGGCCUGAGAGGGUGACCGGCCACAUUGGGACUGAGAUACGGCCCAGACUCCUACGGGAGGCAGCAGUGGGGAAUAUUGCACAAUGGGCGGAAGCCUGAUGUAGCAACGCCGCGUGCGGGAUGACGGCCUUCGGGUUGUAAACCGCUUUCGCCUGUGACGAAGCGUGAGUGACGGUAAUGGGUAAAGAAGCACCGGCUAACUACGUG
rnacentral:rRNA from 1 species